rnacentral:rRNA from 1 species
UACGUAGGGUGCAAGCGUUAAUCGGAAUUACUGGGCGUAAAGCGUGCGCAGGCGGUUGUGCAAGACAGAUGUGAAAUCCCCGGGCUCAACCUGGGAAUUGCAUUUGUGACUGCACGGCUAGAGUGUGUCAGAGGGGGGUAGAAUUCCACGUGUAGCGGUGAAAUGCGUAGAUAUGUGGAGGAAUACCGGUGGCGAAGGCGGCCUCCUGGCUUAAUACUGACGCUGGAGGUGACGAAAGCGUGGGGAUCAAACAGG